rnacentral:rRNA from 1 species
GACGAACCGUGCGAACGUUAUUCGGAAUCACUGGGCUUAGAGGGCGCGUAGGCGGGCCGCCAAGUCAGGGGUGAAAGCCUCCGGCUCAACCGGAGAAGUGCCUUUGAUACUGGCGGCCUAGAGGGAGGUAGGGGCCUGCGGAACUUCCGGUGGAGCGGUGAAAUGCGUAGAUAUCGGAAGGAACGCCGGUGGCGAAAGCGGCGGGCUGGACCUCUUCUGACGCUGAGGCGCGAAAGCCAGGGGAGCAAACAGG